rnacentral:rRNA from 1 species
CUUGAUUUAUUUCUUGAGUGUGUACUUGUUAAGCCUUAUAAGAAAAGAGUUAUUAACUUAAGGAAUUAUAACAAAGAAGUAACACGUAAUGGAUUCGUCCAUUUUUAGUGUGUAUCAAUCGAGUUUCUGACCUAUCAGCUUUUGAUGUUAGGGUAUUGGCCUAACAUGGCUAUGACGGGUAACGGGGAAUUAGAGUUCGAUUCCGGAGAGGGAGCCUGAGAAAUAGCUACCACAUCUAAGGAAGGCAGCAGGCGCGUAAAUUACCCAAUUCUAAAGAAGAGAGGUAGUGACAAGAAAUAACAAUACAAGGCCAAUCUGGCUUUGUAAUUGGAAUGAUGGGAAUUUAAAACCUUCCCAAAAUUCAAUUGGAGGGCAAGUCUGGUGCCAGCAGCCGCGGUAAUUCCAGCUCCAAUAGCGUAUAUUAAAAUUGUUGCAGUUAAAACGCUCGUAGUUGAAUUUCAAAGAAUCGAUAUUUUAAGUAACGCUUCUAGCUAUAAAUCCACAUAACUGAUACCUCCGCGUAUCGACUUUGUGCGCAUUUUAGCUAUUAUGUGUUCUUUUAAUUAAAAUGAUUCUUUUUAAGAUUCAUCUAUUAAAAAUUUGCUUCGGCAUAAUUUUUUUUGAUGAUCUUGUUACUUUGAGUAAAUUAGAGUGUUCAAAGCAAACAGAUAUAGCAUUUGUGCGUUUGAAUACUACAGCAUGGAAUAACAAAAUUGAACAAGUCAGAAUUUUUUUGUUCUUUUUUCUUAUUUUGGCUUAGUUACGAUUAAUAGGAGUAGCUUGGGGGCAUUUGUAUUCAGAUGUCAGAGGUGAAAUUCUUAGAUUUUCUGGAGACAAACAACUGCGAAAGCAUUUGCCUAAAAUACUUCCAUUAAUCAAGAACGAAAGUUAAGGGAGUGAAGACGAUCAGAUACCGUCGUAAUCUUAACCAUAAACUAUGCCGACUAGGC